rnacentral:rRNA from 1 species
CCUACGGGAGGCAGCAGUGAGGAAUAUUGGUCAAUGGGCGCGAGCCUGAACCAGCCAAGUAGCGUGAAGGAUGACUGCCCUACGGGUUGUAAACUUCUUUUAUAAAGGAAUAAACUGAGGCACGUGUGCCUUUUUGUAUGUAAUUUAUGAAUAAGGAUCGGCUAACUCCGUGCCAGCAGCCGCGGUAAUACGGAGGAUUCGAGCGUUAUCCGGAUUUAUUGGGUUUAAAGGGAGCGUAGGUGGGUUGUUAAGUUAGUUGUGAAAGUUUGCGGCUCAACCGUAGAAUUGCAAGUGAUACUGGUCGUCUUGAGUGCAGUUGAGGUAGGCGGAAUGCGUGGUGUAGCGGUGAAAUGCUUAGAGAUCACGCAGAACUCCGAUUGCGAAGGCAGCUUACUAAGCUGCCACUGACAUUGAGGCACGAAAGUGUGGGUAUCAAACAGGAUUAGAUACCCGGGUAGUC